rnacentral:rRNA from 1 species
UUAAACGGCCGCGGUAUUUUGACCGUGCAAAGGUAGCAUAAUCAGUUGUCUUAUAAUUGAAGACUGGAAUGAAUGGUUAAACGAAAUUAGAGCUGUUUCAUUUGUAUUUAUUAGAAAUUGGCUUUUAAAUGAAGAGAUUUAAAUUUGAUUGAGGGACAAGAAGACCCUAUUGAGCUUUAAAUAAUUUUAAGGGUUAAAGUUAUUGUAAAGAUCUAUGAUCUUUAGUAUUUUUUAGUUGGGGCGACUAAGGAACAGGUGAAGCUUCCUUUAUUUGUUUGAUUGAUAGAUUUUGAUCCUGUAUUACUGAUUAAGAGAAAUAGUUACCAUAGGGAUAACAGCAUAAUCUUCUUGGAGAGUUCUUAUUAAAAAGGGGGGUUGUGACCUCGAUGUUGGACUAAAAUAUCCUAAGGGUGUAGAAGCUUUUAAGGGUUGGUUAAACGGCCGCGGUAUUUUGACCGUGCAAAGGUAGCAUAAUCAGUUGUCUUAUAAUUGAAGACUGGAAUGAAUGGUUAAACGAAAUUAGAGCUGUUUCAUUUGUAUUUAUUAGAAAUUGGCUUUUAAAUGAAGAGAUUUAAAUUUGAUUAAGGGACAAGAAGACCCUAUUGAGCUUUAAAUAAUUUUAAGGGUUAAAGUUAUUAUAAAGAUCUAUGAUCUUUAGUAUUUUUUUAGUUGGGGCGACUAAGGAACAGGCGAAGCUUCCUUUAUUUAUUUAAUUGAUAGAUUUUGAUCCUGUAUUACUGAUUAAGAGACAUAGUUACCAUAGGGAUAACAGCAUAAUCUUCUUGGAGAGUUCUUAUUAAAAAGGGGGGUUGUGACCUCGAUGUUGGACUAAAAUAUCCUAAGGGUGUAGAAGCUUUUAAGGGUUGG